AGAGUUUGAUCCUGGCUCAGGAUGAACGCUGGCGGCGUGCCUAAUACAUGCAAGUCGAGCGAACAGACGAGGAGCUUGCUCCUCUGACGUUAGCGGCGGACGGGUGAGUAACACGUGGAUAACCUACCUAUAAGACUGGGAUAACUUCGGGAAACCGGAGCUAAUACCGGAUAAUAUAUUGAACCGCAUGGUUCAAUAGUGAAAGACGGUUUUGCUGUCACUUAUAGAUGGAUCCGCGCCGCAUUAGCUAGUUGGUAAGGUAACGGCUUACCAAGGCAACGAUGCGUAGCCGACCUGAGAGGGUGAUCGGCCACACUGGAACUGAGACACGGUCCAGACUCCUACGGGAGGCAGCAGUAGGGAAUCUUCCGCAAUGGGCGAAAGCCUGACGGAGCAACGCCGCGUGAGUGAUGAAGGUCUUCGGAUCGUAAAACUCUGUUAUUAGGGAAGAACAAAUGUGUAAGUAACUAUGCACGUCUUGACGGUACCUAAUCAGAAAGCCACGGCUAACUACGUGCCAGCAGCCGCGGUAAUACGUAGGUGGCAAGCGUUAUCCGGAAUUAUUGGGCGUAAAGCGCGCGUAGGCGGUUUUUUAAGUCUGAUGUGAAAGCCCACGGCUCAACCGUGGAGGGUCAUUGGAAACUGGAAAACUUGAGUGCAGAAGAGGAAAGUGGAAUUCCAUGUGUAGCGGUGAAAUGCGCAGAGAUAUGGAGGAACACCAGUGGCGAAGGCGACUUUCUGGUCUGUAACUGACGCUGAUGUGCGAAAGCGUGGGGAUCAAACAAGAUUAGAUACCCUGGUAGUCCACGCCGUAAAC
rnacentral:rRNA from 1 species